rnacentral:rRNA from 1 species
UACGGAGGGGGCUAGCGUUGUUCGGAAUUACUGGGCGUAAAGCGCGCGUAGGCGGACCUGCAAGUCGGGGGUGAAAGCCCGAGGCUCAACCUCGGAACUGCCUUCGAUACUGCGGGUCUCGAGUCCGGGAGAGGUGAGUGGAAUUCCUAGUGUAGAGGUGAAAUUCGUAGAUAUUCGCAAGAACACCAGUGGCGAAGGCGGCUGACUGGUCCGGUUCUGACGCUGAGGCGCGACAGCGUGGGGAGCAAACAGG